CAACAGGGAUUGCCUCAGUAACGGCGAGUGAAGCGGCAAGAGCUCAAAUUUGAAAUCUGGCGCCGUGAGGCGUCCGAGUUGUAAUUUGGAGAGGCAUCUUCCGGUGGGGCCCCAGCCUAUGUUCCUUGGAACAGGACGUCACAGAGGGUGAGAAUCCCGUUCAUGGUCGGGUGCCCCCACCUGAAUGUAGUGUCUCCUACGAGUCGAGUUGUUUGGGAAUGCAGCUCAAAAUGGGUGGUAAAUUUCAUCUAAAGCUAAAUAUUGGCGAGAGACCGAUAGCGCACAAGUAGAGUGAUCGAAAGAUGAAAAGCACUUUGAAAAUAGAGUCAAACAGUACGUGAAAUUGUUGAAAGGGAAGCGCUUGAGACCAGACUCAGCCUAGGGCAAACAUCCUUCCUUCUGGUUGGUGCACUUGCCCAUGGCUGGGCCAGCAUCAGUUGGGACGACGGGAUAAAUGUCUGGGGAAUGUGGCUCCCCUCGGUGAGUGUUAUAACCCCGGACACCAUGCCGUCCGUCCCGACUGAGGACCGCGCUCCGGCUAGGAUGCUGGCGUAAU
rnacentral:rRNA from 1 species